rnacentral:rRNA from 1 species
CCUACGGGAGGCAGCAGUGGGGAAUAUUGGUCAAUGGACGAGAGUCUGAACCAGCCAAGUAGCGUGAAGGAUGACUGCCCUAUGGGUUGUAACCUUCUUUUAUAAAGGAAUAAAACGAGACACUUGUGCCUUUUUGAAUGUACUUUAUGAAUAAGGAUCGGCUAACUGCGGGCCCGCAGCCGCGGUCAUACUGAGGAUCCGAGCGUUAUCCGGAUUUAUUGGGUUUAAAGGGAGCGUAGAUGGGUACUUAAGUCAGUUGUGAAAGUUUGCGGCUCAACCGUAAAAUUGCAAUUGAUACUGGCAGUCGUGAGUACAGUUGAGGUAGGCGGAAUUCGUGGGGGAGCGGGGAAAUGC